UCAAAUAUAAUACUUAUAGACAAAUAUUAGUUCUAUCGUCCAAAACGACUUGACCUACAAAAUUUAAUUUUAAUUGGCUAAUCAUGCAAAAAAAUGCGUAAUUUUUUUUAUUAUUGAGGCUUAGUAUCUCAGAGAUCUAAGCUUUCUCAACAAACCUCCCAAGCUAGGAUUCACGUUUUGGAUUUUCAAUCUCAUGAGGAUACCCUAGAAUUUGUUGUGAAAGUAAAUCAUUUUAUUGACCAAGUUUCAAAUCAUAUCUUUCUUUAGCUAGCCAACGAUUAUAUCUUAGAUAGAUGAGGCCACACUUGAAAAUCAACUAAGUUUGUUAUAAUGGAUUUUCAGUUGGGAAGUUUCUUGGUGUGUAAGUCAUUUAUAAGUUCCUUUGGCCUUUGAAAUAAAAUUAGAAGUUAGAAUUCAUAGUUUCAUGUCCUAACACGUGGUAUCAUAUUAGUUAUAUUGGAAGUCCUUGAUAAUUCAAAUGCAUUAUAGAAGUUUUUGGGAUCGUUUCGUUGAAAACAACUUAUUUAGAAAGUACUUUUGGAAGUCUGAAAAAACAAACUGUCGAAGUGGAAAUCGAUUAUCCAGUUUGGGGAAAUCGAUUUCCCGACGCUUGUUCAAAUUUCUGUUUGAUUUUCAGUUGGGGAAAUCGAUAACCCCUUUUGGGAAAUCGAUUUCCAUCGUGAUUAUUAUGUUUUUUUAGCUGUUUUAUGGGCCUACUUGGUUCCAACUUGUAUUAAAUGUAUCCUAUAAAUACUUCCUCAUGUAACAUGUUUCAAACUAAUGUCAUUUGUGAAUAUUCUCCUCAA